AUGGUGAGUUUGCGUGAAGAGGUUUUUGUACGGCGCCUCUAUGAGUCUGUAUCACUGUGGUACACAUUUGGAGGAGGCAGCAGACUUGAAGUGGGAAGUGACACCACUCCCAAAGUGACAGUGCUGCCCCCCCUGGACACCAGCGGGAGUUCGGCCACGCUCAUGUGCCUGGCUAACGGAGGCUUCCCGUCCGACUGGAGUCUGAGCUGGUCUGUAGCGGGGAGCAGCAGGAGCGGGGAGACCAGUCUCUGGGGCCCACAGAAGGACGGCCUGUACAGCUGGAGCAGCACCCUGACCCUCCCUCUCCAGGAGUGGACCCAGGACGUCCCAGUGACCUGCCAGGCAACACGGGGCUCCCAGACUGUCACCAAGAUCCUGAAGAAAUCAGACUGCUCCUAGGCUCUGCUUUAAUGUCUGCCAUUAUUCUGAUUUUGAGGGUGUCUGAUAGGGACUCUUCCUCUCUUCCUCUCUCUAUGUGUA